UCAAGAACCUUCCACAAUGGACGAAAGUCUGAUGGAGCGACGCCGCGUGAUUGAUGAAGUCCCUCUGGGACGUAAAGAUCUUUUGUAGGCUAGAAAGUUUAUUGAUCGGCCUAAGAAUAAGAGGCUCCUAAUCUCGUGCCAGCAGGAGCGGUAAUACGAGAGCCUCGAGCGUUAUCCGGAAUUAUUGGGCGUAAAGGGUGCGUAGGUUGUUCUGUUAGUCUUUUGUCAAAGCCCCGAGCUUAACUUGGGAAUCGCGAAGGAAACGGCAGAACUUGAAAGUAGGAGAGGCGUACGGAACUCAUGGUGUAGGGGUGAAAUCUGUUGAUAUCAUGGGGAACACCAAAUGCGAAGGCAGUACGCUGGCCUAUAUUUGACACUGAAGCACGAAAGCGUGGGUAGC
rnacentral:rRNA from 1 species